CGCUGAGAGACAGACAGAUGGAGAAGCAUGCAGGCUGGAGAGGAGGCGAGACAAAAGCAUGGAGGAAGUGAGCAGCGUGCGGCCAUGUGCUCAGAAAAAUAACAUAAAAAGGUAGGACUGGAGCCUUAUUGCUGCUUGUCACAUGUCAUCAAAACCCAUUCAAUCAACAUGUUGCAUGGCCAACUUUUAGUGUUCUUUCUGGGUGGAUGACAGAGAUGGUUAUUCACAUGUGAGACGUCCUUGCCAGCGUGUGUGCGUGUGCGUGUGUGUGUGUGUGUGUGUGUGUGUGUAAAGAGCAGCAGCAGCAGCGAUGGUAGGAUAUUGGCAACACUCAGGAAUGUGUGAGACUUCGCCCCAGAUCUCUUUGUUCCCUUCGCUCUCAUUCUGCCUUUUUUCUCUUCUUCGUCUUCUCACAGGGUUGCACAACACACACAUACAUGCACGUGCACACAUGCACAGAGCUUUUGCAGAAAACCAGUUGAAACUUCCCACCAGUGGUAAAGAAAUGUGCGGAAUGUGAUUAUCGCAUGUUUAUUUUAUCAUCCCCUCAAAAAAAGAAAAGAAAAAGACAUCAUGCCCGGUGUGAAAUGUGUGCAUGUAUGUGUGAGCGUGUUCUUGUCUUUAUAUAUCCGUGUGGCACAACUUUGACAACACACCCUACGGGGGGACAUUUUGGCAAGAAAAAUGCAUAGAUGAGCUCAUUCAACACACACACACACACACACAUCCCCCCAAGUGUGUGUGUGUGUGUGUGUGUGUGUGUGGUGGUGGGUGGUGGGAAUGGGAUGCAGUGGGAGGCUCAAGAGCGUGAGUGUUUGGCAGUGCACGUGAGUGUGUGGGUGGCUGUGUGGGUGUCAGGGUGAGUGGGUGCAGAGCCCUCUUUGAGCCAGAGCACAUAUUUGAAGCGAGUGUGCAUGUGUGUGCGUGUGUUUGUAGGUGUUGAUUGUGCGUAACUCAUGCGUGCACGAGGCCCCCAGACAAUACAAAAACAUCCACUUUUGCCAUAUAACGAGAAAUCUGCACCCACUUUUUGACUUGCUCAAAGUAUAUACACCGUAUCCACUCUGAUCCAAGCCAGUUCUGAAUAUAAGACGACCUCUUAUAUUUCAUAAUAUAAUUCUUUGUUGCUGGGUAGACUUAUUAAAAAUCUGCCUUAUAUCACAUGACCCAAAUAUAAAAUGACUCUGCAUAUAAGAUGACCCCUUUUUUUCAUAGACCUGUUUUGGCAACAAAAAUUAACACAAUAUUUUUUUUAAAUCAUGUUUUCAUUAUCACAUAAUAACUAGUAGACUGUGAGUUCAGAUUUUUUUGUUGCUCAAGUUCUUUUGAUUCAUUCUUGAUUCAUUACCUUAAAAUGAUCAUCACCGCACCUCCUCUCUUGUUUGCUAACUUGCUAGCAACCUUUGAGACACUUUUUUCCAGUGUAUGGCUGGUGUCAGAAGUGUGUGUGAGUGACAGGAAGAAAAGCUCCGACUUGCUUGGGGAGAAGUUGACUACUCGUCUUUUUCAGACUUUUUAGCUGGGGGCAGGGGGCAAGGUCUUAUAUUCGGGUCAAUACGGUACUUUGUUGUCAAGUUGCAUGCGGUUGAGGUGCCUGUCAAAGUAAAAGUGCAUUGCGGCGUGUGAAUGGUGGCAUGAAACUUCAGUUGAAACAUGGAGGACAAAAGGCAGAAGGGGUGGGGGGACAUUUAAGAGGCUUUAAGUCAGGAGUACAGACUCGGGAAUGCGGGAGAAAACACACACACACAUAUGCAGUGCCUACAUGCUUUCAACGAGAACACGUACAGGCCAAUGUACAGCUGCGGCGACUCAGAGAGGGAGGCUUUAGCAAAGGGGGAAUUCCCAGUGAAAGAGACAGUGAAAACACCUCCUCUUCACAUGCCGGUCUUCCCGGGAUUUGGGAAACCUGUUGGAAACAAGCUUGCAAAAGGCUAAAUUCAUGGUGAGGAUUUCCAGUAAAAACCUCCACUUUUUGUGCUUAGUUUGGGGGCACCAAACAACAUGGCGACAUGUCGUUAUCUGCUACUUCAAAGGCGGCCACCCUGUCAGCGUGGGCGUUCCUCUCAUGUGUUUGUCGUAGGUCGAGUUCAGCGCACUUUUGUGACCUGGAAUCGAUAUUGUUUAGCAGAAAACAGACACACAAAGGUGAAGAGCAGAGGUAAUAGGUGUGUGUGUGUGUGUGUGUGUGUGUGCACAUGCAAAAACAGCAGACUUGCAAUCCACGUUUGUCCUAGUAUGAUACAGCAAAACAUACUUUGAUGGCCUUAAUCACCUCAUGCUUCAUCAUCAGUCUCAUUUCAUGCCAAAUCUGACUUUCUCUCAUUUUUCACCGAAACCUCAUAUCAUUCUUCUUUGACGUUAUUACAGUGAGACGAGCACUGCCUUUAUUUGAAUGAUCAUCAUAUCAUAUUUAUGUCUUCUUUUGGAUACUUCUUUCUCUCAGUAUCAUCCUAGCUCUGCCUUUGUUUUAUAGCUCAACUCUCAUAUUCUCAUCUACCGCAUGCUGUUUUUACUUCGGCGGUUUCAUCUCACGUUAUCGUUGCUGUUUGUUACUCUUUGCCUUAAGCCUCACACCCCACUGCUGCUUGUGUUUGACUUUUUAAAAUACAGUAAGUCUCAUCAUCUUAUUCUCCCUUAUUGUUUUAUGUUUGUCUAAUAUCGUCGCAUCCUUUUUUUGUGUGUUUUGAUUUUGUGUCUCAUAGAAUCCUAUCAUUGCUUUGAUCAUUUGUUUCCUCCUCAUAUUCCUUUUUUGUCUGUCUUCAGCUUUCUCUUAAGUGUCAUCAUUCAAUGUCAGAUUUUUGGAGGUUUGUACUUCAUUUUCAUAUCAUCUCCUUUGUAUAGUUUUGGACUGUCUAGUUUCAAAGUCUCUCCAAGUGUCUCGUCAUCUGAUCAUUUGUUUUUUGAGAAAAAAAACAUCAUUUGUACAGCUCAUGACAUCCAGUGUUUUGUGUUGUGUCUCAUGUUGUUUAAAGAUAAUUCUCAUGUCACCAUCUGUUCUUUACCUGAGGGUUUGGACUGAAAACUCAUGUCAUUCCACGUCUGGCUUUCUUUCCCUUUUUAUGUCUGGGCCCCGUAUCGUUCAUUCCUCUCUGUUUUUUUUGUUUUGUUUUUUUCAUGACUGCCAACGUCUUGUGUUUUUUCUCAUCUUGUCUUUUUUUUUCGAUAAUCCUCACAUCAUCGUCAUGUCAUGUAUCUGUUCUUUACCUGAGGGUUCUGACUUAAAAUUCAUAUCAUGCUAUCUCUGUCUUUUUUUUAGCUUUUGUCUUAAAUCUCAUAUCACCGGAUCUCUUGUUUUCUUUUAAGUCUCAUAUCAUGAAUGUGCCCUCCAUUUGUUGGUGUUUUUUGUUAUCUCCUCAUAACGCCCGAUGUCUGGUAUCAUAGGAUUUCACAUCAUCUUAUCUCAGUGUUUUGUUUUGUUUUGUUUUUAAUUUUGAGGUCAUUUUCAUGGUACCCUACUGCUUCUUUGUUUUUUUUUAGGUUGACAUAUAUAACAUAUUCCUAGCUUCUUUUUUUACGUCUCAUUUUUAUUUAUUUUGAGGUCAUUCUCGCCCCUUUCUUGAGUUUUUUACUUGAAUCUCAAUCUCAUAUAAUAAAGGCAUAUCAUAUUAUUGCUUUAAUGUUACGUCUCCUAUCAUACGCUUUCUGUUUUCAUUUGAUUUCUCAACUCCAAACUUUGCUUUUAGUCCUAAGACACUCUAUUUCAUUCUCAACACUCAUUUUGAUGAGAUACCACAAUAGACUUUGACUUAAUUAAGCUAAGCGCCUAAAUGGUCAAUUGUUGCAAAUGCAAUGAGAAGGCGUAUGAGAUUGACACAGGGGAGAGAAGCCGCCAUAAUCAAGUCUAUGAUUAAAGGUGGCAAUGAGUUUAACUUCUCAUUGCAAGACCGAGACUAGUUCUCAGUGAAUGUUUCUGGGGAAAAAGGAGACUUGACAGUAAAACAAAACACCCGGCGGCAAACACCAGAAACCUUCCCCCAUAACCACUCAUAACCAGACCAGAGUGGGCCACCUCAAUUUAUUCAGGGAAUUUCACAUCCUGGCGGUAUCGUCGGCUCUUCACCGUUGUGCCAGCGGCACGAUGAGACUUAUUUCCCACAAUCAGAGCGAGAGUGACGGAGCACAUGAAAGAGAAAAAGUCCGACUUUUGGUGCAGAGAGAAGGUAAACCCCCACAGUGCCGGCGUAUUUCCCCUUUGACGCCGUCACCGCAGGACACUAUGAGUGUUCACUUUCACUUUGAUGAUGCGCUCAACCGGCCACAACAUUAGGUACACCUGUACAAUCCAAUCCAGAUGAAUCAUAACAACAAUGUUCAGUUUUUCUCACGACUCUCUCAUCUGUUAUCCAGAUAUUCUCAUUGGAUUGUCCAGGUGUACAAAAUGUGUUCUGGGUAGAUCAUAUUUUUGGGGAUAAUUUUCCCCACUGCUUGUCUCCACGCUGAUGUGAGACGUGUGUGUUGAUGAGGUGGAAUGAGAUUCACCUGCCGAUGUUGACAAUGUGAUGAAACUGACAGGAAUGCAGGAACGCCUUCUCAUGGACUUCUGAAUGUGACAGAAACUUUGGGGAAAAGUAUCUAUUAUUUAUAAUCUACAACAAGGCAACCCAACUGGCCGGCCGCAAGCCAAAUUCAGCCUGGGAUUGGCAUCAAACAGUACAGUGGUCAUAUUAAGGAUCUUUGACUCCUGUUUUUGCAGUCGGUCCUUAAAAACAGCACUACAGCAGUCUGUCAUAUAGAGGAUCUUUGUCUGACGUUUUAUUUGCACUUUGUCCUUAAAAACACGAGCUUGUGAGAGUAUCUUUGACUCGUGUUUUUGCAGUAGGUCCUUUAAAAAUGGCAAAGCGCUCCUGUUGUAAAGAUGAUUUUUGACAAGCAUCAACAUAUUGCUUGUCUUUUAAUUUAUGACGACAUUUUGUGAAGUAAAAGUGUGAGUGUAUGUCAGGGCCUUCUAUUGACGUUAUAUGGAAAAGAAGAACAAUAGUGAAGGAAGAAGUCCAGUGCCCUUAGCUUUUCUUUGUCCUUCCUUAAAACAAUUUAGUUUCAAUAUCCCUGAUCGGGAUGGUAGCGGUGCAUGAUGAGUGUUUUUAUCAUAUUGCAUCGUGAGUGUUCCUCUUCUCACUUCAUCCAUUCUUUUUUUUACCCCGGGAAGGCUGGGAGCCCCUCUUUCGGCAAAAUAAGAGGCUCACAAUCCUUCACACCCUUUUGUUUUUUGGUGAUGCCCUUCUUGUCCUAAUUGUCUGUUUAUGUGUGUGUGUGUGUGUGUGUGUGUGUGUGUGUGUGUGUGUGUGUGUGUGUGUAUGCACCCUGCAGAACUCUCCCGCAACAGAAAAAUGUCUCCAAAUGGGAAAAGCGCAGAGCCUAAAGACAAAAGAGAGCACAGGUACCACUAUUUAUUAUUUUUGAUUGAAUGAUUACAAUGCAUUAGAUUAAGUUUAACUUGAUUUGCAUUGUGAUGUAGAUCAGGGGUUUCCAAAGUGUGGCCCUGGGGCCAUCUGUGGCACACUUAAUUUGGUGCACCUGCACGUUCUUAUGAUAUUUAUAAAAAUUCUGUCUUUAUGUAGACAAGAAUUUCCACAAUCGUUUUCAUUUGUAGUUUGUAGUAGCGUACAACUGUACUGCAUCAUACUGAAGGCUGUUUCUAAUAUUUUGGUUAACUUAUUUAGCCGUAUGAGAGGGUCCAAAUACUAGGAACAGCUCUAAGUAUGAUGCAUAUGUGCAUAUUUUGUUAAGUUGAUACCAUGGACACCAAGCAUUAAUAUCUUCGUAAAGGCAGAAUUUUCAAUACAACUCUUGUGCUGGAUCAUAUUAGAUUUGUGCAGAUGUGCCUAAUAAAGUGUCUGGUGAGUGUUUAGUGAUGUAAAAAGAAUGGCAGCGUGUCACUCAUUGCAUUUGCCACGAAAAUGUUACACUUUCAUUACGGUUUAACAAAAUGGCAGUUAUUGGCAUUGUAAUUUGCAAUGGUGUUGACAAUUGAUUAGUUGCUUUGGGCUAAGUCAAGCUUCCCAAUGUGAACAUUUGCCAGUUGUACUUAUCGUUUGUUCAAGCUUGGGAUCUGGACCAAAAGGCAAGUUUUAAGUUAGAUUUGUAGAAUUUUCUAACAUGUUUCUUUAAGCCAAGCUAAAUUGCGAUGAAUAAAUGAGCAGACUAGUGCAAGACGUUGCACAAGAAGAGGAAAAUUAAAAAGUUGUGUACUUGUAACUUGGACUUGCUCGGAGCGGACAGACUCGGGGGGUCAGGACCCGGCUCGUUGUUGGACGCAGAAUAGUGUUCCAGAGCCUGCAGGGAGGGGGCGGGGACCUGCUAAACGCUCGCCCACACUCAAAUGUGAGAUAUUCUAAUGAGCAAUCUGGCCCCUUCACAGCGCAGCCAUCCCACGUGUGACACCCCGGAGAGUCUAGCGGCUCUCCAGGAAAGAAAAAAAUAACGGAAAGGGGUGUCGGCAACGGGACAGGACGGGAUGUGAGUGACGUGUCCCCUAUUCCACUUUCUUCUUGAUUUUUAACGAGGCAUGGACCCCAACCUUUUACUGCUGGUAGGAAACUUGUGUUUUUUAUUGGUUUACACUGACUGCAUUAGAGAUGAUAUGAAAAUGAAAUACAUGAUGACAGUUCUUUACAAAGAUAAUAUUGUUCAGUUUGAUCGGUACAUUAGAGCGGUAUUCAUAUGACAAUAUUAUUAUUGUGCAAAAAUGAAAAAAAUGUAUAGAAAUAUAUUAUAAAUAUUAUAAUAAUAGAAUACAUAAAUGCCAGCAAUGAAUACAGAAACAAUGCAACUAAAGAAUACAUAGUACGUACAGUAAAAGACAAAAAUAAAAAUCUAUAAAUAAUACACAUAUAAUGAUAUCAAAUAAUUAGAGCUGCUGCAAAAGUGAAUUUCUCUUGGAGAUUAAUAAAGUUUCUAUCUAUCUAUCUAUCUAUCUAUAUAUAUAUAUAUAUAUAUAUAUAUAUAUAUAUAUAUAUAUAGAUAUAUAUAUCUACAGAUCUAUCUAAUAAAUGCAACCAAUACAAUUAAGAAACAGGUACAACGAACACAUACAAAAAUAUAUCAAUGUAUGGAAACUAUAAACACCACAUAUUGUAGAUGCAGUAAAAAGCAAAACAAAAAAUAAGGAUAAAAAAAUGAAUUAUUACAAUAGAAAUAAUGAAUACAUGGACCCAGUAAAUAAAUCAAUCCAAAAAGCCAAAAGGUAAAACAUUAGAUAAAUCUAAUAUAUUCUAAUAAUUUGAAAUACUGGCAAUUAAUAAAUAAAUAAAUCCAAUUAAUACAUGAUAAAAAAAUGAGAUAUCCUGAUACAUAGAGACGCUAUUAUUAAAAUAUUGAAUUGGAAUAUUUAGAAUGGUAUUGUUUCACUGAUAUAGUGAAAUAAAGAGCUCGUUAGCUGCUUAUUGUUCCAUUAAAAACCAUGUUCACAUACUGAGAUGUGUUUGUAAUAUUUUAGCCAUUCCAUAAGUGCACUAUGAGAAAGACAUCAGUAUAAUGCAGUGCAACCACCAUAACAAACAUAUUGUUAAGUUGAUGCCAUCAAAGCUGAGCAUUGUUAUCUUUGGAAAGGUGGAUUUGUUUUGUAUUUCAGCUCAGUAGUUUGUGUAGGUGUACCUAAUGUUGUGGUCCAUGAUAACAGUAGCUACAGUAAAAGUACACACACACACACACACACACAUUGUAUCGCCCACACACUCCCACAUGUUUCCCUUGCUUGGCCCCCUCCUUUUAGACGAGCGUACAUGACAUUAAAGAGGUGCUUUAAAUCAGCGUGGGUACAGCAUGUGGGUUGCAAGUGUGUUAUUGUGUGUUAUUGUGUGUGGGUGAAGCACUUUAAAAAAAAAAAAAAAAAAAAGCUCCCGAGUUGUCGGUUCGUGUAUGCGUGGUACCUCGCCCCGAGGCUCUGGUCCCGGGCCGGGCCGCCUACCUCCCACGCUGGGGUACGGCCGGGGGUUGAGGAGGAGGCGGGUUGGUAAUGGUUGUUGUUGCUGAGUGGGCCGACGCUUGUGAGUCAGCCCUGAAUGAGAGCCCUCUGAGGGGAAAAACAUGCUGCUGGAGAAGGGUUAUUUAAUGUCGAAGAGGAAGGAGGAAGUGGUAGAGUUGUUGGAUAGGAAAAGAAAAACAGCGUGAUAUGAGGAAGACUCACUCAUACUGUAUAGCGACACCGUACAUGGGGGAUAUUACAGGCACAGAGGCAGAAGCUGUUACAUUUUGGUGCAAAACUCAAUUCAAAUUAUGCAGAAUUAUGCAAAAGUGAUGUUUUUAAUGAUGUUCUAACACUUAUGUGUAAUAAGCACCAAAUGCGAGAACAAUUUCUCUCGCUCGUUUGCUCCUCUUUUGAGAGAACGCUCGCAUUUCAUGUUCUGGGUUGUGGGCUACACAUCCUAAAACAAAGCCACCUUCCUCACGGACAUGGUAUCACCUCUGACCCACUCCUAGGUAGAUGAGCCCACCACUUCAAGUAUGCACCCAACACUUCACAGAGAGAAAAAAGGCUUCGCUACACAUCUUAAAAUGCAGCCUGGAGCUUUCCCAACUAGUUUUAUCAUUUUGUUUUUUUCAGCAAAGCAUGAUGUUGCUGUUAAAAUGUUAAUGUAAUGUUGUUAGUGUAAGGUUAGCUCACAUAGCUCUGAUAGUGUCGUGAAAGUUUGUUGUUUACGUUGUUUACGUGAUUUGUGACAUCUAUUACAUUGGACAAUGCAGUGUUACAGUGUAUGUAUGUAUGUAUAUUAAGUAUGUAAAGCAUACAAUAGUGCUUCUUGGAGACACACGGUGUCAGAGACAGGCGUGGACAAACACAGCUCAUUAGCAUUAAAGCUACAGAAACACAAACAGCGUGUCCCCAUUAGGACUUACUAAUAUGCACCUUUAAACUCUCUGAAUUCCAGCAUUAAGACUACAUUUUGGACAACACAUUUCUAAUAAACUGUUGUGUAUUGUUGAAAAUUAUUAUAAUAUGGGACCUUUAAAAAUAAAUAGCAGGUUCAUGGCUGUUGCCAAAUGCUUGAGCAUUGGCUGAGGUUUUAGCUCCUUGAGCCUUCCCAGCGACACUUCAAAGUCAAAGCACCGUCAAAAAGAACGCUUUCAUCCAAAAGAUGCGUGUAAUUUGCUCUUCAGUCUUUCGUCGACACACGUGACCUGAGUAGCUUGGCUUCCAUUUCUGCGUACUGCAAACACGCUUUCUCAGAACUGGAAGUUGGGGUGUGGUGGGCGGAGGAGGGGAGGAGGGGAGGAGGGGAGGCAGUGAGCUCAGCAGCAGCAGCGUCAGCAGCAGCAGCUUCCUUGGUUGUGCCAGUCCUGAAGAUAAUGGAAGGUGGUUCUCCAGGAAAGUCGCAGGGAGUCCACCAGUCUAGGGUGUGGAGGCUGGAGCCAAGAGUCCAGAGAGGGUGUGGUGGGGAAAUGCUGGUUGACAAUGUGGGUGUGUGGGGUUAGGCCAGGUGGAAGUGAGGGGUGGAAGAGUAGUGCCCCCGCGUAGUAAUACCCUCCACUGGCCGCCGGGGGGAGCUGGCGCGCGAAACAAGUGGUCCUCGGAGACACCGCGCAUUAUUACACACACAUUCCCGGCGGCGUGACCCCUCACCGCCUUGGCAGCGCUCGCCGCUCUCGUGUGCUGUGAAGGCAGCACAGUCGCUCAUUCACUCGCUGGAGAUGUUUUUCCCCUUCUCGCACCUCUGAAGGGAAAAGGAAGAGGAAAGGGGGGAGGGAGAGAGGAGGGGGGGCGGUGAUGACGAAGUGGAGCGUUGUAGCAAUGCACUCCUAUAGAGUCUCAUUGUGGCCAUACUGUCACUGUUUACUUAAUAUACAGUGUUGGACAGUACACCCCUCACAUUUCAUGUUAUCUUCUCAAGGGUCAAUGCUAUAGAAAUGAAUAUACAGUCAAACCUCGGUUUUUGUACACCCCGCUUUUUGUAUGAAUCAGUUUUUGUCCAAAAUGUUGGCACUGUCUUGGUUUUUGUACAGAAUUGCAUGUAACAAACUGGUUCAUUUGCCCUGCAAUGUAGCGUUCAACAAAAUUGAGUGCCCCAACAAAGCACCCUAAGCGUUGCUGAUAUACUGUCCCCGCAUUUUUUUGGGGGGGUAUGACUGCUAAAUAACCCACCAUGGGGCCAAGAAAGUUGUGAGUGCCAGCACUUUGAUACAGAAGAUGACAAACACUAUUGAAUUUGAUCUCGGUAGUCCGCAUCAACAAUAAGAUCCAUUCAUUUGUCACUGGCAAUUUUCUGCAUGUGUCAAGAAUAGCGCAUUAACGGCAGUGACUAAUUUAUUUCAUUAAUUACGUUAAAAACAUUAGCGUAAUUACCGCAUGUGCAAGCCACACCUGUCUGUUAUGACGGUAGGCGAAGGCACAAUAGCAUCCCCACAUAGAGGCUGACGCUCUUUUCUAACUUUAGUCUGACCUGAACACAUAAUCAGCAGUUUAUUCCAACAGCACACAUGCACCACCAACUCACAAACACAUCUCUUGCCCGCUCGUCAUCGGAACGAAGCUUCAUCAGCAUCGCAACAACAUCUUCGUUCUGCGUGGUUGUGUGGUCUAAAUAAACGGACAGACAAAGAAAAACAGUAAGUGGAUAUUCUUAUCACGCUCUAACUCUUACUGCGGAAGUACAAUUUGCCAGAAGAUACGUCUACACUCAAAACAUAGGAGUUCAAUUUAAAUUACCUGACGUCUUUGAACGCAACUCCUCAUGGCUCAUAAUGACGGUUAAAGUUUGAUUCAAAGAGGCGAGUGUUGGACAAAUACAUUUUCGGACGUGUGUUGUCUUUUAGUUAAAUGAGUUAAAUUUUUAAAAUUUUCCGUGCAUUUGGAGCCGUUAAUACAUACAAAUAUACAUCAUUGCGUCCUGUCAUUUAUCUUUCUGUACAUAAAAUACAGUAAAAACGGGCAUAUUUCACACAUAGUUGCAAAUGGUGAUUAAUCAUGAUUAAUUCAUUUGAAAAUUGUGAUUAAUUAGAUUAAAAAAUGUAAUCAUUUGACAGCCCCAACAGAAUAAUUGGAUUUACAUUAUUUUCUGAGUGAAACAGCCUAGGUUUUCAUAUGUUUCAGGUUUUGUCUAACCUUUUGGAAGAAAUCAAUAACGAAAACUGAGAUACGACCGUAUUUGUACUAAUACACUAGCCCCUUUUGGGAAGAUCUGGGUUCGAAUCUCCGCUGGGCAUCUCUGUGUGGAGUUUGCGUGUUCUCCCGUGCGUGCGUGGGUUUUGUUCGGGUACUCCGGUUUCCUCCCACAUUCCAAAAACAUGCAUGUUACGUUAAUUGGUGACUCUAAAUUGUCCAUAGGUAUGAAUGUGAGUGUGAAUGGUUGUUUGUCUAUAUGUGCCCAGCCAUUGGCUGGCCACCAGUCCAGGGUGUACCCCGCCUCUCACCCGAAGUCAGCUGGGAUAGGCUCCAGCAUACCCCCGCGACCUUAGUGAGGAUUAGCGGCAUAGAAAAUGGACGGAUGUGUUUCCCCUUUUGUUGUUCACUCUGCAGUAUAUCAUGCACUGUUGUGACUCUUCCGACAUUAAAUCGACGUCCCAUCCCACCUAGUCAUACAGAGUCUCAGUCUCCAUCAGAAUAGCACUAAAAUGGCGUUCGAUGAUGUUGUGACACUUCAUGGGGCGUUGUAUGUGUCCGCAGUCAAUCCAGCAGCUACCCUACAUGACUCAGGCAGAACAAAUGCUACCUUUUCACCCCCCAGUUUAUCACCUGUCUUAAAAAUAUGAGGACUGCGUACUACUCCAACAUGCCUCUGAAGGAAAAAAAUGACACAAUGAAAGUGUUUGCUAGUCCAAUUAGCUACAGAACUAUUUAAAGGCUCCAUAUUCUGGUAUUUGUCACUCAUUUUAAAUGGAAUCUCAGAUCAUCGACAAGUGUUUUAGAUGUCUGUUGACCAAAAUUUUGCCUUGAUGCUGAAAUGUUGAGUUUAAGAGUACUUUCAUUAAGCCCUACUGGGAACACACUGUUGUGUGUGUCUGUAGCUUUAAUGCCAAUGAGCUGUGUGUGUCCACGCCUGUGUGUGUCGCCAAGAAGCACUAUUGUGUACCUUGGCCACAUUUUACAUACACACUGUAACUCUGCACUUGUCCAGCGUUAUAGAUGCCAUACAUCACGACAUAACACUAAGGAAUGGGACAGGAGGACACAGAUGUUAGCAGCACUAGCAUAGCUAUGUGAGUUACAGAGCUAACAUUACACACACAUUUGAACAUCAUGCUAGGCUAGGUGAUUCCCUGAAGAAAAGAAAACUUCCACACAGCUCCCAUGUCUGGAGCUGACUGACCAAGAGUUUAGCAGAGCUCUGGGUUUUAUUUUAAGCUAUGCAGCGAAGCCUGAGGAAGGUGUUUUUUUCCCUACAACAUCAAAAGCGACUGCUUGAGUAAUCUUUUCUCAAAAUGGGAGCAAACAAGUUUACAAGCUACAAUACCACAAUCCCAAGCUGUUAAAAAGUGUAGAAUUACCCUUAAAUAGUUGUACUAUUCUUGGGCUAAAUCCAAAUAUGUGUGUUUGUGCGUGCGUGCGUGCGUGUGUGUGUGUGUGUGUGUGUGUGUGUGUGUGAGGUGUCAUCAUGGAACAUUCUUGUGUCACCCAAAAGAAUCACAGAUGAAGCUGCAGCGGUGUACCUGCGUGUGCGAGGGGUUACUACAGGCUAAUGCACUCUCACACAAACACACACACAGACGGACAGCAAUGUAGAGCAAAGCCCAGUGGGCACAGAUAAGACACGCAGUCAUGCCUUGCCAGCGUGACCAUGACAUCACAGUCAGGAUGUGAGUUGGCCACAAACACACUGGCCUAAUAUAGUCAGUGUAGGGUCCUUCAAGCAUGCCCCCUUCCCCCUAUCCUCCGUUGGAAGCCAAAGGAAGUUAACACGACACUCCUACAACCUAGACCUCCUGCAUGGUUGUACUAUACCAGGGGUGUCCAAAGUGCCGCCUGGGGGCCACCUUCCUCCAGCAGCUUGUUUUUUAUUGACCCUCGGCAUAUUGUAAAACUAAGAUAAAUUCAUAGUUGAGAUAUAUUAUUAGAUAUUACACUAACUUCCUUUGUCACCUCUAACACAAAGCUAAAAUGUGGACGUUUUGUCCAGAUAGUUUAGAUAGAGUAUAUUGACCUGCACUGACCUGCACUGGAUUGCUUUGAGCAUCUUUCAUGCGCAAAAUGUAUCAGUGGCCCUCCGCAUUCGUUAUUGUUUCUGCACGCGGCCCUCGGUGAAGCAAGUUUGGUUGGAUGUCUCUGUACGAUACAGUGGAUCCCCGUGGGGAUACCAUCCAAGACCCACUGGCGAAUAGCUAAAAACCACGAAUAAUGGACGCACCCCAAAAAUUGCCUAUGUUUGAUACUUGAACCAUAUAAUAUGCCUGUCACAGUUAUGAAACGCAUUUCAAAUUUGGUUGUACACAUGAAGAAACUAUUACAGUAUACAUUAUUGUACUUACAAAACGUGCAGUUACAUAACAGCACGUCUUGUCUAAACAUCUUCCUGCCGGAAAACUGAGUUGAUUGACUUGUGAGACAGUGCCCUCUGCUGGAUUCAGAGCACUCUUUUUCCUCUGCAAAUACAGGAGCUCCAUCAAACCACUUUUUAUUGAAGAUACCAUAAAAGAAAUUACAGUAAUUAUAAUUUGAAGCAGAGAAAAUAAAUCCAAGAAUAUGUGAAUUGCAAGUAAACCGGGAUCUAUUUUAAUGUGAGAUUUAAAAGUCCAGGUCAAUACUCCUCCACACCUGUAGGGAGCCACAAUGUGAAUUUAAAACUAGGGUUGUCCCGAUACAACUUUUUUGAUACGGUACCGAUAUUAUAGGCUUUAAUAUCGGCUGAUACCGAUAUGGAUCCGGAUCAUACAGUCUCUGUUACAGUGAAUGAGUUUUUGCCGUCCCGUGGGAGUGUCGCGUGUGAUGCCGCUUCAUAUGCGCGAUGAGGUUUGUCGUAUUAAACGUCCUUAUUUCGGUGCCACAAUGGGAAACUUGUGCAUGACAAGUUUUCCACUCAGCUGCAAAGUCUUUUUACUGCCACACGGCUGACAUCACUGCUGCUCCAUGCUACUUUGUUAGCACGCCAGCAAACACUGUUGUUGCCAUCACGUGCUCUCUAUCCGGUGCCUGCUGGACAGACGUGCUGGGGCGGAGUCCUGAAUCGACCGCUUGGAUUGGAUUGCCAAUAUCGGAGAUGUGAGAUGCGGGCCGAUAUAUUCCAAUAUUGUUUUUUUUUUUUGUUGAUAUCGUCCCGAUAUCCCAUAUCAAUAUCGACUCGGGACAUCCGUGUUAAAAACUGGAAUGAAGGAGACGCAUCCACUGUAUUCUACUGAGUAUUUGGGGUUUCAGCGCCUUCUGCUGGAUGUGGUUGGUUAGUCCACCCACACUUGGUCCCAACGCUGCUCAGCAAUUUUAAUAUCGGCACCUCAGUUUGGAUGCUCAUCAAAAUGUAACGAGGUCCUGCACAGCACAUGUGCCACAGUUCCACAAUUUUUCAUGUAAACUAGAUAAGCGGGAAAGAAAAUGGAUGGAUUGUCAUUUUGAAAAAUUGUUGUCAUUUUGUUUCUUACCUCAGGUGUCGGCUUUUCUUACUGAUCAUGGCUGAUCCAACCCAAUCUAACCCAAAAUGGAGCCACAAAAAAUUUCGAAGUGGUAGCAUUUUGGUCAAGAAAUUGAGCAACACUAUUGAAUGCAGGAAAUAACUCAUGGCAAAACAUAAAGGUGGUGUCUGUGUUGAUCUCGCUGCCACAUCGUGUCUUUGCCUCACGUCUUCGAUGAAGGUAAAAUGAACCUUAAAUGUUUAUUUAUCCCUUUCAUGUGCCAUUGAAAGGCAUUUAGAGUAGUUUUAAGCAUCUACAAUUAUAAUUGUAAAGCUAGAAAAACUCGUGUUUUGCUGACAUCCGGUUCCUGUUUCCAUUUAUGAGCAAGCUGCUAACAAGGACGUUUUUUGAUUCAAUCCCAGCCAUUUUUCAAAAGACAACCCCUAAGGCACACAGAAUAUUGCGUUCCAUGGCUGUAUGAACAUGAAAAGAAAGAUUAGACUCUCGUCUUUCAUCUGAAAAAAAAACUUUGUUUCUACAUCCUUCCAUUCUUUUGUAAUCAGCAGGAGAACGUGGGUAAGUUUCAGGAAAAUAUCAGUUCCCAACAAGAAAAGGGAGAAAAACAUCUUUUUGUGAAAAGAUACUGUACAAUUUCAACGCAUAACUUUUACUUUGACACCAUUUUGUUUACUUUUAACUAUACCACAAUGUAAACAAUACAAAAAAGGGAUGUUUUACAUCAAAAUGACAAUUUAUGUACAAAUAUAACCCUAUGAAAUAUUUACCAUUUUCACAUUUGGAACUAAACUGUGUGUGCACGCAUGUGCACGAGCAUGCGCACGUAUAAAUAGGCCUUUGAGAUCGGGCGUUCGGGUUUAUGGAAAGGUAUAAAUACAUCCUUGGUAUUGAAUGAGUUAAGAAGACAGUUGCAUUUACAUGGUGUAUUAAUAAGACGACAAGACGUGUGCUAUAUUGUAUCCUAACCGGAAAAUGUUGCCCUAAAUUUUUUACGUUAACCAAUAGAGACGCUAACCAAGGCGUACACUAACUGAGGUUCCACUGUAUAUUCUGAUUAGGACAUUUCAGUACAAAAAAAGAGGACCAUAAGACAACAAUUUACAUAAAAAAACAUACAAAUCUAAAAAGUUCACCUUUCGUUCCAGACUUCCCGACAGCUGGCAUUUUAACCCUAGUUUAUGUUUCCUUCCCUUAGCCCCUUUGUAAUAAUAAUAAUUAUUAUUCUAAUAAUAAUAAUAAUAGAUCGGAUUUAGACAGCGCCUUUCAAGAAACCCAAAGCACUUUUUUUCUUCCCCCUGUUGUUUGAAUUCCUUGACCUUAUCUCCGUAACUCUUGUUUAUCUGCACCCAUGUCAGUAGAACGUCUCUCGGCCAUUAAACUGCCUGUGAAGCGCGAGCGCGGCAGAAUUCCCAGGCUGCUCGGCUGCCUGAGUUCACACCUUUUUGUCCACAGGAAUCUCAGGAAUCCCCAGCUUCCUUUUCCAUUGUGUGUGUGUGUGUGUGUGUGGCAACAUGAAGGAAAGGCCCCCGCCUGUGUCGAAAACGCAUCUCCGCCCUUGUAUCCACCCAGAGAAAGCGAGCAGGCGGCGCUCACAAUAGACUGAGUCACAUUCUAAAAUGGCAAAGUGCUCCAUUUUGUUAAAACAACAGCACAAAAAAAAUGAUUUGCUCCGAAACUUGAAUGUCACAUUUAAUGCCAAGAUUUUUUUUUUUUUAAAGCAAUUUGCUCCGAGUGACUCAUUGCUUGUUGCAGGCUUUUAGCACAAAUAACCCAGAAAACUGGGAAAAUCAUUAUUAUUAUAAUUGUUAUUAUUAUUAUUAUCAUUUCUCCAUUGUUAUUAAGUGACACACAGAAUUGUAUUUUGUGUCUUUAACUGGACAUUCUUUCAAGCUCAUAUUGGAUACUUGGAGACGUACUUGGAUAUUGCACAAAUAUAACGUUCCGCUAAAAAGACUAUAAUAAUAUGUCACUUUUAUACUAAGUACAGUGUAACUUUGUACAAAUAUUUUACUCAAUAAACAAAAUAAUAAUAAUAAUGAGAGUUUUGGCGGUCAUGGCUGUCAGUGUGUCAGAGGGUCCUGUUGUACUUGAAACUACAAACAUGGCAGACAUGUUACUCUAAACACUAUAUUUUGCAGUGUCAAACUAGGGGCUAAGGCUCAUAGAGAAAUUAAUUAGUUUAAUGAAACAACGCUUUUUAAAAUAUGGCAUUUUUCAUACAAUAUGCUACAUUUUUUAUACUUGAAUAAUAAUCAUGUGAAUACUCCGCAAACACGGCUGGUAUUUUGUGCUGAAAACACUAUAUGUGAUUACUUACAGUAUGACUUACAAAUGAAUGCUACAGUUCGUCAAGACAACUGAAGAGCGGUUAUUAAAUAAUUUAUGUUAUAAAAGUUGUUCUAGCAUUCUAGCGAGUCCUGUCAUAAAACAAACACUCCACAAACACGGCUGAUAUUUUGUGCUGGAAACACUACAGUAUAUUCUGCAAUAAUUCCAGUGUUUUGGGGGUUUUAGGGGAUUGAGUCAAAGAGGAAGCCAUUAAAAAAACAAAGGCUAGUAACAAUAUGUCAUUUUAUGGACAAAAUCCUACUACAUUUCAUCAUUAAAACCGAUAAGCACUUUCAAAGCGGUUUUUAUGCCCUGCUCGUCCUCUAAAAGCGAUUCUUGCCACAGCAAAAAAACGCAACAUUCUAGCACGCCACAAGGAUGACUAACGAGAAAACAGAGUCAAACUAAAAAUAGCCCUCUUUCUACUAGUUACCGUGCGCUAUUUUGUGCCAAAUCCUACUAAAUUCUGUUGACAUAACGCUGAAUAAUGAGGGCGGGAGUUAGGCGUUUAUAUGACUCCUGAUGUUGUUUGGCAGUUCUGGCGUCAUUUGAUCCGCUGUGGUCUUGACUCACCCGCCUGUCCGAGUCCGGCCACCCAUCAGACCCAGCGAGCGAAACUCUCACAGACCGUUUCAUUCAUCGGAUCGACACGCGACAGGCCGUGAUUCACGCACACCCACUCGCUCUCUGUCGUCAGUCGGAGCCAGAAGCCGAGGCCUUUUGCCAAGAUGGGAUCGCUUUCGAGUCUCGACCACAGAGUCUUUGAAAAGGUUGCUUGCCAACCUUCAGAUUUCAGGUUUUUUUCCACUGGGUUAUUAUAAAUUGUACAACCUGUGAGUACAGUAUGUACAUAUAUACUAUAAAUAUGAUGUGAUGAACAUUUGAUAGAAUAAUUAUUGUGAUCAAACCUACAGUAUGUUUCAGUUUAAGGAAAGGAAACGACCUAUUAUGGUAAUGACUUCUUCCUUUUCUUACGUUUGUUGUGCAGUUGGCUCAGGACUUUUAAUCACGUUAUUACCGUAAACACGGCAAAUACAACUAUGGCUUAAAUAUGACAUUUUGAAACGGGAUGGCAACCGUCUGAAAUUGUAUCUCAGUUCAUUGAUGAACAUUUUCAUGUGUUCAAAAAUGGGUUGAUAAAUGGCUAUUUUUGUUUUGCGUUUAUUUUUAUCUUGAGUUGGGUGUUCUUCCAGCAACAUAUUGUGUCUGGAUAUGCCACAACCAGGCUACAUUAAUAACGAUCUUCAUUUUGCUAUGAAUUUAUGAAUUUUUUCAUAAUUUCAUGUCAGGAUUAAGUAAACCAAUUUCAAGGUAACGUUAUAGAAAAAUCAUGCUCAAUUCUGUUGAAAAAAGCAUUUUAGCUGUAAUUAGCCCUUUUUCCAAUCAUGGACAAACUGCAUGUUUUCUGACGGAGACUACAAACAUGGCGGACGUGCUAGGCUAAACAUGCUAUUUUUAAAAAUAAAAUGCUUUCUUAAUAACCUUAAAAUAUGACCAAAGUUGACAAGCAUUUAUUUUCUCUUCAGUCAUAAAAGUUAUUGUAGAAACAGGAGCGCCAUGGUGCUUGAGCGUUCGCGUAAACAUGCUAACAUUCCACCCACAUGACAGGGAUGCUAAACAGUCCUAUAAGACAGUGAUUGUGUGUCGGCGCACACAUCAUAUCAGGUGCACUGCAGGAAAUGAUCACAUUUCCCUUGAUUGGUCCAAAAAUGAUGAAUUUACUGCAAAUAAUGUAGUAAAUCAAAACAAUGGUACUGGCAGAGUAAAUCAUUUUUGAGGUGGUCCUUGGUGUGCAAAGUUUGAGAACCGCCGGCUUAGACCAACGCAAGACUCAAAACUAAAUCAGACCAAAGCUAAGAGCAAAUUAGUGCUUCAAGGACGUUUCCUUCAUUCGGACCUGUCUGUCUGUCUGUCGUGUGAUAGACGUUGGAGGGGAUGUGUGAGAGUUAUGUCACAGUGAUGUUAUCUUGGGCAACAACAUGAUCUAAGUCAGUGGUGCUAAAAUUUUGGGUCGGGACCUCCGCAGCCAGCCGCAUGAGAUCAUCCUAAAGCAGGGUGGGAAACGCAAGAGCAGCUUUAAAAAGCGUAAAUGCUCAUCUUGCUCAGCGUGAGGCAUGGAAAUGUUCAAUUGAGGCUCCCAUCAGUCAAAGGUGGCUCGGGAUUAGAGGGCUAUUUGGGUCAAACGUCCUGAGCAGUGAGUCACAGAGGUUAUAGAGAAGUUAUGAAUGAAGGCCCUACAAAGGCGGUGUGUGUGUGUGUGUGUGUGUGUGUGUGUGUGUGUGUGUGUAACAUGGGCGCAGCAUUGGCUUGGAUGAGUCACAUGGCCUUCUGUGAGUAAGCAGGCAGCUAUGUCAUUCCUGAAGGUUGCAGACUCCCAUGGAAACCUACUCGCAGGCCGAGCCCCCAAGAGCCGACUAGGGAGGGAGGGAGCGCGUGGGUGUGGAAGGGUGUGGGGGUGAAGGUCCAAACCUUUUGAUAGGUGUGGUUGUCGGUGCGUGGGGGUAGAAUGGCAGGAUGUCAGAAAGAGUUGGCAGAAGAUGGAGGGGUGAGCUGCCAGAGGGUGGAGGUCAAAGGUUGUUCUCAGGUCAGCACAUGGCAGUGACCUCCACCAAGGUCCUCCCUGGUCACCCGCCUCUAGGGGGCUUUGUUGGUGUCACUGUUUUAUCUCACAAUGUUUUUUUGUUAAGCAAGACAAAACUACUACUAGUUUCACUUUCCUUCCACCAAAUGUUUGGACACACUUCUCAUUCAAUGCGUUUCCUUUAUUUUCAUGACUAUUUACAUUGUAGAGUCUCAAAACGAUGAAUGAACACAUGUGGAAUUAUGUACUCAACAAAAAAGUGUGAAAUUGCUCUAAAUAUGUCUUAUAUUUUAGGCGUAUAUUUUAUGUCUUAUCAUUUUUUUGAUAGCCCUGCAAACCCUUUGUGUUCUCAAUGAGCUUCAUGAGGGAGUCACCUGAAAUGGUUUUCACUUCACAGGUGUGCCUUGUCAGGACUGCUUUCUGGAAUUUCUUGCCUUAGUAAAGGGCUGGGGAGCAUGGGGUUGUAUUUAGGGAUGUCCGAUAAUAUCGGCCCACUGAUAUAAUCGGCCUGAUGUUAGCAUAAAAAUGUAAUAUCGGCCAUAAUCUGUAUAUUUUAUUUUCCCUAUAAUGAAAGCCGAUGUAGCCCUUUAAGCGCCAACUUGAAAAAUUGCUGCAUUACGUACUUAAUGCGGUGGCGUUCACAAAUUGGUGAGGAAGCGUUAACUCUUAAUUUGGCAAGCAGAGUAACAUCAGGGCUCACAAUGAACUUAUCAAUUUCACAGAAAUUGUCGGGGUGGGGGGGUUCCACUCCACAUACCAGUCUUACAGUGUCUUAAAGAGCUAAAACGUCACACAGCAACACGAUAGGUAGAUAACAGACAAGACACUAGCAAGAAACAAUAAAAGAACCAAAGACCAAUACCACGCAGAACCAACAACUAAUGUGACCUCUAAACAUGUAACUUAGCAGCCAUUUACAACAACAGUACAGCAAAGCAUGCUAGGAAACAGGAUACGUAGACGCAGCAUUAAGUGCUGACGACGUGGCCGCCAUAUUGGAUGUGGCAGGGCUGCGCUGUAAAUGAAUACAAGUAAAUGUACUUACUUUCAUGAAGCGCCUUUCUCCAAAGAAUUGUAAGUUAAUGCCUCUCGUUUAUGCAUUCACACAUGCACUAAUUAACUUUGGCAAACGUUAGGCACCAAAAACAACGUAUUUGAGCUUCUCAGAUAGCUAAGAUAAAAAAUGUAUUGAUCCCACACAGGAGUAAUUCAUAUUACAUCAGUGAUAGAGCACAAAGUUAUGCCGAAAAACUACACCCAAUAAACAAAUAAAUAUAUAUAUAUAUAUAUAUAUAUAUAUAUAUAUAUAUAUAUAUAUAUUUAUUGUUUAUUAGUUAGCAGAUUUCCGCCACAUUACGCCAAUUUUGAUGAGCGAUAGGGCCCUUUUUUGAUUGUCAGCUGGAUUUCUCGAAAAUGACUGAACUGUCUCACUUAAAAUUUAGUGAAGGGACGUUGCUAAGGAUGACCCCCUCACAUUUUGGUGUUGAUAAAUAGGCACUUUUUUAUCCCCGUUAAGCAGUUUUCUAGGAGGGGCGUCAUUUUUUUGGUAAUUGUAUCCCACCGGCUAGGGCGGGGUUCCCCAAUUAGUUUUCACAGAGAUCAUGGGGAGUGCAAUGCAAUGCAUAGUUUUUGUGGGCCUCUGUGGGCUGGUUGUGGCCCCCAGGUGGUCUAUUGGACGUACUGUACUGUAGGUGAACUAGCGUUUGGAUUCAUAGUCGUGUCUGUGGAUUUUUGAUGUUGUUGUGCGCAAAACCCAGGUCACUGUUCGGCUGGCGGUCACAUUUAGUGUGUCUGCAGCGGUAUUGAAGACGUCAACUUUUUGACAAAGCUACCCAAGCUUUUUCCAAAGAGGGCUGCAUACAGAAAAAUGGAAAAAAAUGCCCUUUUGUUAAAUAAGCACGCAAAAAUCAAUCGAAUACAAAGUUGUUGGUAUUCUAAGAAGCCAUCUAACUUUUGAGAUAGUUUUGUCUUUUAUGAGCAGCCUAAAUUGUCCUUCGUAAUCAUCUGACGUGGGUUUAAUUUUAUUUUUGGAAUAUGCCCAGGGCCAAAAACAAAACAGCGCUGCAAAUGGCCCACGGGCCAGACUUUGGACACCCCUGGAUUUACGCAUUAAUCCUACUGACAGUGGGGGCUAUCUAUGUCAGUGUAAUGUGGCCCACACAGGUCCUUUUUCUACAGGCGUCCCAGCAGCUCUGGUGCCGGGGGUUUCCUGCCUUACAGUCCACACACACACACACACACACACACACACACGCACACACACACACACAGAGGCGGCCCUCCCUAUUUUCUCCUCCUCCUCCUUCUUCAGUCUUCCCUCCUCUCUCCUUUUUUUUCUCAAUGGAUGCCCUCUCACUAACCUCAAUUGAGAGCCGUGUAACAGGACACUGCCCCCAUCGGGCUGCACUGUGGACCGCCCCCUCCUCCUUCUUUUUUUUCAUUUGAAGAGCCACACUAUAAAGAGCAGUGAUCCCGACUAUAUGUAUGUGUGUGUGUGUGUGUGUGUGUGUGUGUGUGUUAGGGAGUUAGAGGCGGCGGCUGCCGCCACUGCUGUGAAACAUGUGAUAGCGCUGCUUUGGCGGAGCGUUCUCUGGGACGUUGAACAACUCCAGAACUCCGGGAAAGCACCUUUAGCUCAGAGGGAGCCUCAUAUGCUGUAUUGUAUAUAUUUCCAGUACUUAUACUUAUACUAUAUAUAGAGACUACUGCGUGUGAGCCUGUUACUGAUUACACUUGGGGAAUGCAGGAAUAAAAAGACAGUGAUAGGAAGAAGAAGAAGAAGGAGUGUGUGAUUUGUCCAAAUGGUGACGUGGGUGAGACCUUCUUACCCAAUAGCCUCUCUCUCUCUCUCUCUCUCUAUUUCUCUAUCCUCCUCCUGAUGGCUUGAAGUUAAAAAGCCGGAAUCUCCACUCCGAAGCAACUUAACGGAGGACUCUAGUACGCGUAAAGGGGAACAGGAUAGGACGGAAUGCUGUGGUUCACCUGGUUCCUAAACACGGAUUGGAAACUUCCGACUUCUUUCCCUGACGUUCUGACGGAGGACCACCUGCUGGAGGUCGCCUUUAAGAGAGACAGACUCACUCGGAACCCCUUUGGCGCCCUCGUCCUUGUCCUAUCACCAUUCGGCGGCCAUCACUUGCUCAGUAGGCAGUGUAGAUCCUGUGUAGCAUCAGCAGCUACAUCUGGCUACUGGGUCUCUGGUGGCAAAGCCUACUUCCUGGUCCUUCCUUGCCCUCCUGAUUGGCUGUGGCGUCAGAUCCUGUGACCCCCCACUCCCCUGCAGACAGGAUGUUCUCUGUCACAACCCCACAAGAGGCCCUUGUCUUUUUCACCCCGCUUCUUCCUACAUGGAUUUGCUUUGUCCUGAACCUGGCAUACAAUGUAGAUUUCUGUGUGCUCCAAUUCUACAGCUACAUUGUCUGCUGGGUUUCUGGCUAGCAAUAUAAUCAACUGUCAUAGAAUCAAUACGCAUCAAGCAAUAACAACAUCAACAUCUCCGCACAAGGUAAGCCGGCUAUGGCACUGAAAUAAAAUGUUCUGCCAUUGAAAUCUUCCAAUAAAAACACCUUAUUGCUCAUUGUGGGUUCUGUCAGUUUGUCCAAGUGUGUGGGAUUGUUGAUCAACUGUGUCACUUAGUUGUGACCAGCAGAGGCGCUGUUGAUUGAACUGCUUGGUUCAUGUUAUGGUAAGUUGAGCUAGUGUACAUUCACAACUCCUAUAGGUAGCAUGCAAACAAGAGUUCAGAACAUUCAGAGUGAUUCUGCCAUCCCAAUAAAAAUAAUAUUUCACAAUUUAUUUUCAUUUUGUCCAUAGUUGAUCGAGCGAAUGUAGUCCAAUGCCCAUCCAUCGUGUUUCCUAGCCUUUUCAAGCGGCCAUUUUGGUUUUCUGCAUUCCAUUUAUGAAUAAAAAUAUGGUUUGUUGCUUGAGUCUUUUUGGGUUUCAUCACUUCAAACUAAAUGACCUUUUUGAGGGCUUUAACAUAUUCAACAACUCGCCAAAUUUUGCAAACUUGUGUAUUCUGGAGUAGCCCGCCCCAGCUAGCGUGUGUUUUGGUUAACGUCAAAAAUGUAUGCCAAAGUUUUGGCUCUGUUUGCUUACAUUCUCUGGUUAGCGUACAAUAUGUCUCUUCAUGUUGUUAAUACGCUUACACAGAGUCCAACCGUGUUCAUGUCAUUUUAGAACAAAACGUUCCUGUUAGCAUCCUAUUAGCUUAAAACCGGUAGGAACCGGUAGUCAGCUCCGUCACCGGUCGAUGAUGUCAGAAAUGUUAACAUCAAACACGUCUUUCUAGUCUUACAAUUGUAGUUUUACAUGCAUAAAACAAUUGUAAAUGCAUAUAAAUGAUGAAUGAAAGAGAGAAGUGAACAUUUAAGGUUACUUUUACCAUCACUGAAGAUGUGCAUGUUCCCAAGACACCGUGUGGCAGCGACAUCAACACCGACACCACCUUCCUGUUUUGUCAUGAGUUAUUUCUCGAAUUCAAGAGAGUUCCUCACCUCCUUUAUCCAAAAUGCUGGCACUUGCAACUUUAUUUGGCUCCGUUUUGGGUUAUUCAGGUGAGAAACACUAUUGAAUUCAAGAAGUAAUAAAAAAGGAAGGCGGUUUCUGUGUUGAUCUUGCUGCCACAUUGUAUCUUUGGGAGCAGUCACGUCAAUGAUCACGUUUACCAGUGAAGGUAAAAGUAACCGUAAAUGUUCAUGUAUCCCAUUCAGUCAUCAUUUCUAGGUAUUUUUAUGCAUUUCGUAAUUGUAAAACUAUAAAAACGUGUUUUGCGUUAGCAUUUCUGGAACGGAUUAAUUGGAUUUACAUAAUUUCUUAUGGGAAAAAUUGAUUCGGUUAACGUCCAUUUUGAUGCGAGUCAGACCUUGUGGAACGGAUUAAUGACGCUAACCAAGGUUCCACCAUACUUAGUUGACCCGGCGGUGCGAGUGCACAGUGGGACCUCCGUUUUCGUUAUGAAUUUGUUCCAAAUGUUACUGAAAACUGAAAUGUACGAAAACUGAUUUUUCCAAUAGGAAAUCAUGAAAAUCCAAUUAACUCGUUACAGUCACCCGAAAACAUGACCAAAAAAAUACAUUUAUAGGGAAUAAUUAUAGUUGUACAUGCAGAAAUAGUUAUAAAUGAUGAUUAAAAUUGAUCCGUGAACACUGAACAUCACUGACGACGAGGGACAGACAGAGAGAGAGAGAGAGAGCGAGCGAGCGAGAGGAGGCGAUCCACACCAACAACAACUUCUCAACAUAUUCAGCUGUUUGUGAUCUUUACCCAUUUCGUAACAUCAGCUUUCUUGAUUUCGUCUUCCUUCGCCAGGAUGGAACUUAUUGUUGAUGUCCGACUAGUUUGUCUCACAUUUGAAUUUGCCAAAUGUAUUCUAAAUAACCGAAACAGAAAAAAGAAAGAUCUUACGCUGUAAAGUUUUCAAGACGUUGGCAGUUUUGCUUUCUGAGAGAAAUGUUUGCGAUAACAACAAGGCGUCGUAGGCACGGCAAAGCAAGUUUACUUAUAGAGCACAAUUCAUACGCAAGGUAAUUGAAAGUGCUUCACAGAAAACAAGGGUAAAAUAUCUUCAUGAAAUCAUUCCACGAAGCAGAUUAAAAAUGAAGAGAUAAAUAAGAUCAAAUAUUUUCAGUUGUGACAUUCACAGUUGAGUAGAAGUGUUUUCAGCUUGGAUUUGAACAUUGCCAAAGUUGAGGAUUGCCGCACAUCUUCUGGAAGACCGUUCCAGAUUUUGGCAGCAUAAACCCCAAACGCAGUACUUGGACAAGCUCAGCCAAACUGAAUUCUGCUGCUACACAGAUGCUUAAUUGGGAAUUUGUUGUUGGAAUGGCAUGGCCGCUGGAAUCAAAAUACCUAGCGUUCCCGUUUUUGGCCCCCGUGCCACAUGUUUGCGACCAACCGUGCCGUAAAUGUCUUCACGUGGCAGCCAAAGAUAGCAGGAGUAUUGUGGUUAAGUCAUCAAGGCACAAAGGCGGCUGAUUGUCAGGAGGUUUCCAGACUGCUGUCACACUGGCUCCUUAUUAGCGCCAACAAUGUCUUCUUGCCUAACACACACACACACACACACACACACUUCCUGAGACAAAGCUGAAGGAAAGUUUGCCUUCUGACCAUAAAAAUAGAGCCAUGCCUCAUGUACAUGUCAUUAAAAUGUGCUGAUUGUGGCUUCCCAAAAACACAACAGUGAGUGAAGGUGUGUCCACUGUGGGCCACACAGCAAUAAAAGCCAACCAAACAUGAUGAAAAUGAACUCCAUUCAGCAGGGAGUGGAGUCGGCGCUCUUCAGCUACAAAAAUAUCUUCACAACAAAAUGAGAACAAUUUUGAGCUGGAGGCAUUGUUUUAACAAAAAAAAAAAAAGGGGGAGGACAGUCUCGAAUUAUUUUGCAGAAACGAGGAAAAGCGAUACGACCUUAAUUUCCCAAAGGAACAAACACCACCUGAAACGUCUAAAACAGGACAACACAGAAGAUGAAGCUUCAAAAACCUUACACGUCUGUCACACGGAGGUCAGGACUCGAGGUGCUCGGUUUUCCUCUUUUUUUUUAAGUGUGUUUCGCAUUUAUUUGAAGAAUAAGUGAAAUAUAAUAUAAACAUGUAAGUGAAAGUCAAAUAUAAUGUGCAUAACGGGCAUAACACGGCUGCCGCAUGAGGGAAAAAUAAGUAUUUCCAAAUUUAGUGUUUCUUUUGUUUUCCAAAUAUUAUAUUUUUGUGCUUUGCAUCAAAAGGGGGGGGACAAGAACUUGUACUUGUGUUUUUUUUGUUUUGAAUAAAGAUGGAGGUACAUGUUUUUCAUGCACACCCGUCCAAUAAGAACAACAUGUAUCUACAAAGCAUGUCUCCCUUUUGUUUUGUACUGGACAAAAACACAAGGAUAGAACUAUUUAAACUAGUAGCAUGUUUCAUGAUUUUUCAUGAACAAGCCGGAAUAGAACAGUGGUCACAUGCUAUGAGACAUGCAUGAACAGUCCAAUAAAUGAAAAAAAAAAAAAGUCUCUCCAAAUUAUGUGAGUUUCUUGUGUUUUUGUUUGACAAAAAAAUGUGACUUUUUGCAUGAUUUUUCUUCUUUUGUUCAAUGUUAGCUGUGCUUUUCUUGAACAAAGCAACAAAGCAUACUUUUUAGU